UGAAACUAAAACAAUGAAAGCCCUGCCUCUCUUCCAUCCUUGCGGCUCCGAAGACCGCGCCAGUGUGAAUCAGUACAAACCACAGUUG
rfam:Paenibacillus mucilaginosus 3016, complete genome.